rnacentral:rRNA from 1 species
GUAACAAGGUCUCCGUUGGUGAACCAGCGGAGGGAUCAUUACCGAGUUUACAACUCCCAAACCCCUGUGAACAUACCAAUUGUUGCCUCGGCGGAUCAGCCCGCUCCCGGUAAAACGGGACGGCCCGCCAGAGGACCCCUAAACUCUGUUUCUAUAUGUAACUUCUGAGUAAAACCAUAAAUAAAUCAAAACUUUCAACAACGGAUCUCUUGGUUCUGGCAUCGAUGAAGAACGCAGCAAAAUGCGAUAAGUAAUGUGAAUUGCAGAAUUCAGUGAAUCAUCGAAUCUUUGAACGCACAUUGCGCCCGCCAGUAUUCUGGCGGGCAUGCCUGUUCGAGCGUCAUUUCAACCCUCAAGCCCUCGGGUUUGGUGUUGGGGAUCGGCGAGCCCUUGCGGCAAGCCGGCCCCGAAAUCUAGUGGCGGUCUCGCUGCAGCUUCCAUUGCGUAGUAGUAAAACCCUCGCAACUGGUACGCGGCGCGGCCAAGCCGUUAAACCCCCAACUUCUGAAUGUUGACCUCGGAUCAGGUAGGAAUACCCGCUGAACUUAAGCAUAUCAAUAAGCGGAGGA